GAUGAACGCUGGCGGCGUGCCUAAUACAUGCAAGUCGAGCGAACAGACGAGGAGCUUGCUCCUCUGACGUUAGCGGCGGACGGGUGAGUAACACGUGGAUAACCUACCUAUAAGACUGGGAUAACUUCGGGAAACCGGAGCUAAUACCGGAUAAUAUAUUGAACCGCAUGGUUCAAUAGUGAAAGACGGUUUUGCUGUCACUUAUAGAUGGAUCCGCGCCGCAUUAGCUAGUUGGUAAGGUAACGGCUUACCAAGGCAACGAUGCGUAGCCGACCUGAGAGGGUGAUCGGCCACACGGGAACUGAGACACGUUCCAGACUCCUACGGGAGGCAGCAGUAGGGAAUCUUCCGCAAUGGGCGAAAGCCUGACGGAGCAACGCCGCGUGAGUGAUGAAGGUCUUCGGAUCGUAAACCUCUGUUAUUAGGGAAGAACAAAUGUGUAAGUACCUAUGCACGUCUUGACGGUACCUAAUCAGAAGGCCACGCCUAACUACGU
rnacentral:rRNA from 1 species